GAUAGGUGGGGAGAAAGCACCCCAGUUCUUGGAAGUUAGCCGUUUCUCCUCCUCGCAGACAACCUCCAGAGCAGGGCAGCAGGCAGCUGCUAGAGAUUUAUUUCUCCACUUAGUCGUCUCCGCUUGCGGCUUCCUCCCAUGAGUGAGGACCAAGAGAAGCCCCCUGUCUCUGAUGAAAGUGGGGGAUGAACACUGAACCAAACCCACACUGCUCAGCACAUUUGAUGCGGCCAGAAACAGACUGCAAAGGCUGAGAAAGCUUUUCAGGGGCCGUCUGGCUGUGUGGGUGCGAAGCUGGCAAUGGAAGAAUGAAAGGCAACCCAGAGUGAAAUUAGGAUUACAAUUUUACAAACGUCUGUUUCUGACGCAGGAAGCACAUCAUUUGUCCACAUCACACUCU
rnacentral:lncRNA from 1 species